rnacentral:rRNA from 1 species
CUACGGGAGGCUGCAGUGGGGAAUAUUGGACAAUGGGCGAAAGCCUGAUCCAGCCAUGCCGCGUGUGUGAAGAAGGCCUUCGGGUUGUAAAGCACUUUCAGUGGGGAAGAAAGCCUUGGGGCUAAUACCCUCGAGGAAGGACAUCACCCACAGAAGAAGCACCGGCUAACUCCGUGCCAGCAGCCGCGGUAAUACGGAGGGUGCGAGCGUUAAUCGGAAUUACUGGGCGUAAAGCGCGCGUAGGCGGUCUGAUAAGCCGGUUGUGAAAGCCCCGGGCUCAACCUGGGAACGGCAUCCGGAACUGUCAGGCUAGAGUGCAGGAGAGGAAGGUAGAAUUCCCGGUGUAGCGGUGAAAUGCGUAGAGAUCGGGAGGAAUACCAGUGGCGAAGGCGGUCUUCUGGACUGACACUGACGCUGAGGUGCGAAAGCGUGGGUAGCAAACAGGAUUAGAUACCCCAGUAGUC